UUUUUUUUUUUUUUUUUUUUUGCCAUUUCUUGGGCAGCUCUCUCGGCAUAUGGAGGUUCCAAGGCUAGGGGUCGAAUCGGAGCUAUAGCCACCAGACUACGCCAGAGCCACAGCAACGCAGGAUCUGAGCCGCGUCUGCAACCUACACCACAGCUCACGGCAACACUGGAUCCUUAACCCCCUGAGCAAGGCCAGGGAUCGAACCUGAAACCUCAAGGUUCCUAGUUGGAUUCGUUAACCACUGAGCCACAAUGGAAACGCCUGUGCUAUGCAUUCUGUCGGUACACAUUAAUGAGCCCCUGCAGGUCUUACACUCCCCUGCCAAAGCUUUAUGUCAGUUGUAAAGCUAUUGUCCUUCAGCUGCAAACCUACCUUCCCUACUCUGCUGGAACCCAGUUCUCCUUUGCCGGCUGCUUCUCUGCUAGAAUCUACCUGCAGCAGGUGCUAAACUAGGAGGCUGCAGGGAGAAGAAGGGGCUUGCUCCUUCCCGUUUGCUUCCCAGUCAUUGUUUUUCUUUCCUCCUCCCGUCUUUGAUAUUUCUAUGCCUGGUUCUAAGGUUAACCCUGACAGCAGUUUGUUCCAAGAACAACAACUGACUAGAGUGUGCAGUUUUUCUGACAUUCAUAGAAUCUCAGCAACCUCAUUUCCCUCUGAGACGCCAGCAUCAGACAAUUAGCACCCCCCCAGAGGUCUGGAUCCCAUUCCCAAUUCUGAUCUCAGAAACACUACUACUAGUAGGGCAGUGCCCCUUCCUCAGAGAUCUGAGUCUCAGGCCCCCCAAGUCUCUAGGUUUUUGUAUUUUUAGCCUCUUCCCUUUGCUCCUCAGCCAUUGGGGUGGUAGCUGCCUUCCACGGUUGUUCCCUUCAUAAAAUACCUUAUUGUUCCCUUUUGCCUCUCCAGUUCUCUAAUACCUGCUUAACAAUUAUUUACAUUCAAUUAUCUCUAUUAAAGUAACUGGUAUAUGGCACAAUAUUGUAAAUCAACUGUAAUUUUAAAAAUAAAGAAAAAAAAAGAAAGUUAAUAGUAUAGGAACUCCUUGGUGGCCUAGCAGGUUGGGGAUCCCGCAUUGUUGCUGUUGUGCUCAGGUUGCUGCUGUGGCUUGGGUUCGAUCCCUGGCCUGGGAACUUCUGCAUUUUAUAUAUAUAGUAACUGGUAUAGUUUCUGUCUCCUGAUUGGGCCCUAAUUGACACAGGUUAUCUGAGAUAUGACUCUGAUUAUUGGCCUGGAGACAAUGAGGGGUGUUGAGGGACGGUCAUGAGGACAACAAAUGUCACUGUGUGAAGCACAUGUUUCAAAGAAAUGAUAAGCCUAUCUCCAGCAAGCAAAAGCUACUCUGCUCUGGUAAGUGGGGAAAGGGCUGAGGAUGCCAGUUAAGGAGGCUUCAGAAGAAAGGGUUUCAGGAGUCUCAGGUUUUCCCACCAAAAUUUCCUAUCCCAGAUCUCAUUAUUUCCUAUAAGAUCCCCAACUUUGCCUAAGAAGAAUGUCAAAAGUAUGCACUAUUCUCCCUUGAAGCUCUACAAAGACCUGCAAAUCAUCAGACCCUGAGCUUAAUUUUCAGCUCAGUCUGCCCUGCAGCUAUAGGAGGUAAAGGUCUCCUUUAAAGUUGUAUAGACAUCUUCAAGUAUUCAGAGCAUAUCUUAUUGGAAUGAGAUGCCCUGAGCUUGUCAUUCUCUUUUAGUAAGGUCUCUAGUGGUUUCAGAAGAGUCAGUGUACACUGCUGUCCCUGUAAUUUACAUGGUAAAAUGUUUCCCAUAAAUCCCAGCCACUUUACCUGCCAUUGCCUUGACCUCCAUCUGCCCUUCAUCCAAAUUAACCAGAGUUUAAAGCUUAAGAAAUCUCGGAGUCAGUGUGUCAGAAGUUAUUGCCAACCUACUUAUUCUCAGCGAUAGGUUCCUAUUGUUUUAGAGAGCUGAGCAAUCCAACUUACAAAUUUAAUCCCAAGUGUUCAUUAUACCUGAUACCAACUGUCAUAGCUCAGGUCUCAGAAAGCAGAGCCUGAGGCAAGGAUUAAAGUGCUGACACUUUAUAGAGGAGUUAUAAGCCUAGGUUGCUGAGGCUGAGGAAAAGGGGGAAAUGAGGGAAGAAAGAUGUACAGCAAUGUCAGGUGAUAGACUGGCCAAAACUUCACUCCAAGGCAGGAAGAAAGAGCAAGUCUCAGGAGGUAUGUUUGCUAGUCACACAGAUUGCUCCAGAAGGGUUGAAAGGAGAAAGUAGACCUGAGAACAGUGCUGAGAAAGGGCAAAGGAGAGGGGCACUGAUAUGCUAGGUUCCCUUUUCUCUCCCCUACCCCAUUGGUCAAGUUUUACUCCACAGGAGCUUACUUCCCCGAACUUCUGAACUACAUCACCUAGUCACUGGUGGCCACAUAAGAAGCCAGACCUCAUUCCACACAGUGUGACACUUCAUCUAUAUCUGCAAGUGAAAGGGAGAAACUCUGAAAAGGUACACAAAAAUGUACCCAAUACAAACAGGAAUUCUCAAAACUGAUGCAAGAAGACAAAGGAAAUUGGAAGGGUUCUGUAAUUAUUAAAGACAUUGAGCGAAUCAUGUAAAGUCUCCCCACGAAGAAUACACAAAGGCUGACCAGACAGAUUUAUAGGUCUUUCCAAACUUUCAAAUAACAUGUACUUCCACACAUACAUAAACUUUUACAAAAAAGAAAAUGGAAUAUUUUUGAUUUUAUGAAGCUAAUUUAUAUUAUAAUAAAAUCAGAGGGGGCUGUAUAAGAAUAGAAAAUUAGGAGUUCCUGUUGUGGCUCAGUGGUAACGAACCUGACUGGUACCCAUGAGGACGUGGGUUCGAUCCCUGGCCUCACUCUGUGGGUUAAGGAUUCAGCAUUGCCAUGUGCUGUGGUGCAGGUUGCAAACACAGCUCGGAUCUGGUGUUGCCAUAGUUGUGGUGUAGGCCGGCACCUAUAGCUCUGAUUUGACCCCUAGUGUGGGAAUUUCCAUAUGCUGCAGGUGCAGCCCUAAAAAAGAUUAAAAAAAAAAAAAAGAAUAGAAAAUUACAAUCCUAUACUUACUCAUGAACAUGGAUGCCAAAAUCUGUAAAUGAAAAUAUUAUCAGUUUAAAGCCAGCAUGUAUAAAAAGAUAUUACAUAAUAAACCAAGUUGAGUUUAUUCCAGGAAUUCAAGAUUCAACAUUAGAAAAUCUAUUAAUGGCAACAGAAAUAAAAGCAAAAAUAAACCAAUGGGACCUAAUCAAACUGACAAGCUUUUGAAAUCAUAAAAGAAACAAAAAGACAACCUACAGAAUGGGAGAAAAUAGUUUUAAAUGAUGCAACUGACAAGAACUUCAUCUCUAAAAUAUACAAACAACUUAUACAACUCAACAGAAAAAAAAUCAACAACCCAAUUGAGAAAUAGACAAAAGACUUGAAUAGACAUUUCUCCAAAGAAGAUAUACAUAUGGCCAAUGAGCACAUGAAAAAAUGCUCAACAUCACUGAUUAUUAGAGAAAUGUGAAUCAAAAUUACUAUGAGAUACCACCUCACACCAGUCAGAAUGGCCAUCAUUAAUAAGCCCACAAAUAACAAAUGCUGGAGGGGAUGUGGAGAAAGGGGAACCCUCCUGCACUGUUGGUGGGAAUGUAAAUUGGUACAACCACUAUAGAAAACAGUAUGGAGGUACCACAGAAAACUAUAUAUUGAAAUACAAUAUGAACCAGAAAUCCCACUCUUGGGCAUAUAUCCGGACAAAAAUUUUCUUGAAAAAGACACAUGCACCCAUAUGCUCACUGCAGCACUAUUCACAAUAGCCAAGACAGGGAAACAACCUAAAUGUCCAUCGACAGAUGAAUGGAUUAAGAAAAUGUGGUAUAUGGAGUUCCCUUAGUGGCCAGUGAAAACAAAUCCGACUAGGAACCAUGAGGUUUGAUCCCUGGUCUUGCUCAGUUUGUUAACCACUGAGCCACGAUGGGAACGCCUCUAUUUUUCAUUUUUUGAGGAGCCUCCAUACUUUGUUAAUAGUACUAAAUCAAUCAGUUUACAAUCCCACAAACAGUGCACAAAGGUUUCUUUCUCUUUAUACCCUCACCAACACUUAUUAUCUCCAGUCUUCUUGACGGUAGCCAUUCUUAGAGUUGUGAAGUUAAAUCUCAGUAUGGUUUUGAUUUGCAUUUCCCUAAUGACUACUGAGAUGCUGAGCAUCUUUUCAUUUAUCUGUUGGCCACUUAGAUGUCUUCUUUGGAAAAGUAUCUAUUUAGUUCUUUGCUCACUUUUCAAUUGUUUCACUUUGUUAUUGAAUUAGAUGAGUUCAUUAUCAAUUCUGGGUAUUAACUCCUUAUCUGAUAAAAGGUAUGCAAAAAAUGUCUCCCAUUCUUUAGGUUGUCUUUUCAUUUUAUUCAUUAUUUCUUUUGCUGUACGGAAGCUUUAAAGUUUGAUUAGUCCCCACUUAUUGAUUUUUUUCUUUUGUUCUUUGUGCUUUUGGUAUCAUAUAUAAAACAUGAUUGCCAAGAUCAAUGUUGAAGAGAGUCUUCUCUGUUUUCUUCCAGGAGUUUUAUAACUUCAGGUUAUAUGUUUAAGUCUUUGAUCCAUUUCUAGUUAAUUUUUGUGAGAGGUGUAUAGUGGGUGUCCAAUUUCAUUUUUCUGCAUGUGGUAUUUUUUCCCAACACCAUUUGUUUAAAAGUCUAUCACUUCCCUACUGUACAUUCCUAGCUCCCUUAUCAAACAUUAGUUGACCAUAUAUGUGGGAAUUUAAUUCUGCACUCUCUAUUCUGUUCUAUUGGUUUAAGUGUCUAUUUUUAUGCCAGUACCAUACUGUUUCAAUUACCAUAGUUUUGCAGUAUAAUUCAAAACCAAGAAGUGUUAUGCCUCUGGUUUUAAUCUUAUUUCUCAUAAUUGCUUUGGUUCCAAACAAAUUUUAGGAUUGUUUCUUCUAUUUCUGUGAAAAAAUGCCAUUGGAAUUUUGAUAGUGAUCGCAUUGAAUCUAUAAAUGGCUUUGGGUCGCGUGGACAUUUUAACAAUAUUCACUCUUCCAGUUCAUGAACACAGCGUGUCCUUCCAUUUGUUUGUGUCUUCUUAGAUUUCUUUCAGCAAAGACUUAUAAUUUUUCAUGGUACGUAUCUUUCACCUCCUUGGUUAAAUUUAUUCCUAAGCAUUUUAUUGUUUUGAUGCUACUGUGAAUGAGAUAGUUUUCUCUAUUCACUUUUCAAAUGUGUCAUUGUUAGUGUAUAGAAAAGCAAGUGAUUUCUACAUUGAUUUUAUAUCCUGCAAGUUUACUAAAUUCAUUGAUUGGAUCCAACAGGUUUUUUUAGAGUCUUUAGGAUUUUCAAUAUAUAAGAUCAUGUAAUUAGCAAAUAGCAAAAAUUGUGCUUCUUCCUUUCCAGUUUGGAUGCCUUUUCUCACUUUAUUUUGCCUGACUACUCCAGUUAGUAAUUCCAGUACUAUGUUGAGUAAGAGUGAUGAGAGUGGGCACCCUUAUAUUGGUCCUUAUGUUAAAGGAAAGGCUUUCAGUUUUUUGCCACUUAGUAUAAUGUUAGCUGUGGGCUGGUUGUAUAUGGUCUUAAUUACACUGAGGUAUGUUCUUUCUAUACCCAAUCUAUUGAGGGUUUUAUCAGGAAGGGAUGUUACUUUUGUCAAAUGCCUUUUCUGCAUCUAUUGAAAUGAUCACAUGGUUUUUUCUUUCACUAUAUUAAUGUGGUAUAUCACAUUUAUUGAGUUGCGUUUGUUGAACCAUCCUCACAUCCUAUAAGAUAAAUCCCACUUGGCCAUGGUAUAUAAUCUUUCUAAUGAAUUCUUCAACUCAGUUUGCUAAUAUUUUGUCUAGAAUUUUUACAUCUCUGUUCAUCAGAGAUACUUGUCUAUAAUUUUCUUUUCUUGUAGUGUGCUUAUUUAACUUUGGUACCAGGUAAUGCUGGCUCCGUAGAAUAAGUUUGGAAGUAUUCUCUCCUCGUUGAUUUUUGAGAAGAGCUGGAGAAGGACUGGCAUUAACUCUUCUUUAAAUGUUCAGUAGAAUUCUCCCGUGAAGCCAUCUUGCUCCAGAGUUUUCUGUAUUGGGAGGUUUUUGAUUACUCAUUCAGCCUCCUUAUUUAUUACUGGCUUAUUCAGACUUGCUGUUUCUUCUUGAUUCAGUCUUGGUAGGUUGUAUUAUUCCAAAAAAUUAUCCAUUUUUCUAGGUUAUCUAAUUUAUUGGUGUUUAAUUGUUCAUAGUAGUCUCUUAUGAUCUGUGUUUAUGUAGUGUCAGUUUUUUUAAUUUUAUUUCAUUUUUGAAUUUAUUUAUUUGAGCCUUUCUCUUUUUUUCUGCUAGUCUCUCUAAAGAUUUGUCAAUUUUGUUUACCCUUUCAAAAAAGCAGCUCUUAGCUUCACUGAUCUUUACUAUUGUUCUCCUAGUCUCUAUUUCAUUUAUUUCUACUCUGAUCUUUAUUAUUUCCUUCC
rnacentral:lncRNA from 1 species